rnacentral:rRNA from 1 species
CCCCUAAAUGUUCUGGGCCGCACGCGCGCUACACUGAACAGUUCAACAAGUCUUAACCUUGGCCGAUAGGUCUGGGUAAUCUUUGAACGCUGUUCGUGAUUGGGAUAGACCUUUGCAAUUAUGGGUCUUCAACGAGGAAUUCCUAGUAAACGCAAGUCAUCAGCUUGCAUUGAUUACGUCCCUGCCCUUUGUACACACCGCCCGUCGCACCUACCGAUUGAAUGGUCCGGUGAAAUCUCGGGACGGCGGCUUGGUCGCUUGCGUCCGACUGCUGAAACUUGAUUAAACCAUAUCAUUUAGAGGAAGGUGAAGUCGUAACA